GACAGAGGGUGCAAGCGUUGUUCGGAAUCAUUGGGCGUAAAGGGCGCGUAGGCGGUUUUGUAAGUCGAAUGUGAAAGCCCAGGGCUCAACCUUGGAAGUGCAUCCGAAACUGCGAAACUUGAAUCCUGGAGAGGGUGGUGGAAUUCCCAGUGUAGAGGUGAAAUUCGUAGAUAUCGGGAGGAACACCAGUGGCGAAGGCGGCGACCUGGACCGAUACUGACGCUGAGACACGAAAGCAUGGGGAGCGAACAGG
rnacentral:rRNA from 1 species